rnacentral:tRNA from 1 species
GACUCUGUAGCUCAGUUGGUUCGAGCGCUGCACCGGAAUCGCAGGGCCGCAGGUUCGAUUCCUGCCAGGGACC